UUCCAGACUCCUACGGGAGGCAGCAGUGGGGAAUAUUGCACAAUGGGGGAAACCCUGAUGCAGCGACGCCGCGUGAGCGAGGAAGUAUUUCGGUAUGUAAAGCUCUGUCAGCAGGGAAGAAGAAUGACGGUACCUGAAGAAGAAGCACCGGCUAAAUACGUGCCAGCAGCCGCGGUAAUACGUAUGGUGCAAGCGUUAUCCGGAUUUACUGGGUGUAAAGGGAGCGCAGGCGGUUCUGCAAGUCUGAUGUGAAAGCCCGGGGCUCAACCGCGGGACUGCAUUGGAAACUGCGGGACUGGAGUGUCGGAGGGGUAAGCGGAAUUCCUGGUGUAGCGGUGAAAUGCGUAGAUAUCAGGAGGAACACCGGUGGCGAAGGCGGCUUACUGGACGAUGACUGACGCUGAGGCUCGAAAGCGUGGGGAGCAAACAGGAUUAGAUACCCUGGUAC
rnacentral:rRNA from 1 species